GACGAACGCUGGCGGCGUGCUUAACACAUGCAAGUCGAACGGAAAGGCCCUGCUUGCAGGGUAUUCGAGUGGCGAACGGGUGAGUAACACGUGGGUGAUCUGCCCUGCACUUCGGGAUAAGCCUGGGAAACUGGGUCUCAUAUCGGGUAUGAGCCCUCCUUCGUGUGAGGGUUGGUAAGAUUUUUCGGUGUGGAAUGAGUUCGCGGCCUGUCUACGUGUUGGUGGGGUAAUGGCUAACCAAGGCGGUGUCGGGUAGCCGGCCGGAGAGGGUGGGCGGCCACAUUGGGACGGAGAUACGGCCCAGACCCCUCCGGGAGGCAGCAGGGGGGAAUAUUGCACAAUGGGCGGAAGCCUGAUGCAGCAACGCCGCGUGGGGGAUGACGGCCUUCGGGUUGUAAACCCCUUUCGCCUGGGACGAAGCGUGAGGGACGGUAACGGGUAAAGAAGCACCGGCUGAAUCCGGG
rnacentral:rRNA from 1 species